CUACCAUGCAGUCGAGCGAGAAGUCGGAAGUGAAACUUCGGUGAAGCUGAAGAUGGAAAGCGGCAGACGGGUGAGUAACGCGUGAAUAAUCAACCCUGUACAAAGGGAUAGCCUCGGGAAACCGGGAUUAAUACCAUAUGAAGUAUAUUAAUCGCAUGAUAGAUAUAUUAAAACUUUGGUGGUACAGGACGAGUUCGCGUCCCAUUAGCUAGUUGGUGAGAUAAAAGCUUACCAAGGCGACGAUGGGUAGCCGGCCUGAGAGGGUGAACGGCUACACUGGAACUGAGACACGGUCCAGACUCCUACGGGAGGCAGCAGUGGGGAAUAUUGCACAAUGGAGGAAACUCUGAUGCAGCGACGCCGCGUGAGCGAAGAAGGCUUUCGAGUCGUAAAGCUCUGUCCUAAGAGAAGAAGAAGUGACGGUAACUUAGGAGGAAGCCCUGGCUAACUACGUGCCAGCAGCCGCGGUAAUACGUAGGGGGCUAGCGUUGUCCGGGAAUUACUGGGCGUAAAGGGUGAGUAGGUGGUCAUUAAAGUCAGAUGUAAAAGGCAAUGGCUCAACCAUUGUAAGCAUUUGAAACUUAAUGACUUGAGUGCAGGAGAGGUAAAUGGAAUUCCUAGUGUAGCGGUGAAAUGCGUAGAUAUUAGGAAGAACACCAGUGGCGAAGGCGAUUUACUGGACUGUAACUGACACUGAGUCACGAAAGCGUGGGGAGCGAACAGGAUUAGAUACCCUGGUAGUCCACGCUGUAAACGAUGAGUGCUAGGUGUCGGCAAGAGAUUGUCGGUGCCGCAGUUAACGCAUUAAGCACUCCGCCUGGGGAGUACGAUCGCAAGAUUGAAACUCAAAGGAAUUGACGGGGACCCGCACAAGCAGCGGAGCAUGUGGUUUAAUUCGAAGCAACGCGAAGAACCUUACCAAGACUUGACAUCCUCUUGACAGGUGUAGAAGUACACCCUCUCUUCGGAGCAAGAGUGACAGGUGGUGCAUGGUUGUCGUCAGCUCGUGUCGUGAGAUGUUGGGUUAAGUCCCGCAACGAGCGCAACCCUUAUCAUUAGUUGCCAUCAUUAAGUUGGGAACUCUAAUGAGACUGCCGGUGAUAAACCGGAGGAAGGUGGGGAUGACGUCAAAUCAUCAUGCCCCUUAUGUCUUGGGCUACACACGUGCUACAAUGGUCGGUACAACGGGAAGCUAAGGAGUGAUCUGGAGCUAACCCCAAUAAGCCGAUCCCAGUUCGGAUUGCAGGCUGCAACUCGCCUGCAUGAAGUUGGAGUUGCUAGUAAUCGCGAAUCAGAAUGUCGCGGUGAAUGCGUUCCCGGGUCUUGUACACACCGCCCGUCACACCACGGGAGUUGGUAAUACCCGAAGCCGUCGAGCUAACGUAAGAGGCAGACGUCGAAGUAGACCUUGGUCUUU
rnacentral:rRNA from 1 species